AUACGGAGGAUGCGAGCGUUAUCCGGAUUUAUUGGGUUUAAAGGGUGCGUAGGCUGUGCGUUAAGUCAGGGGUGAAAUGCCGUCGCUCAACGACGGAGCUGCCCUUGAUACUGGCGUGCUGGAGUACGGAUGCCGUUGGAGGAAUGAGUGGUGUAGCGGUGAAAUGCUUAGAUAUCACUCAGAACACCGAUUGCGAAGGCAUCUGACGAAUCCGUCACUGACGCUGAGGCACGAAAGCGUGGGGAUAGAACAGGAUUAGAUACCCUGGUAUUCCACGCCGUAAACGAUGAUGACUAACCGUCGGCGAUAGACAGCCGGUGGCCAAGCGAAUGCGAUAAGUCAUCCACCUGGGGAGUACGUCGGCAACGAUGAAACUCAAAUGAAUUGACGGGG
rnacentral:rRNA from 1 species